ensembl:lncRNA
GGGUGGGGCAAGUGGGGCAGAGGCAGCCCCUUGGGGAUUUCAGCGGCCCCUGGGUCAAGGUUUCAGGGCUCCAGUUCUGCCCACUUGCUGCCCCCACAUCCCCAGGAAGGAUGACCCCUGCACUUGCCCAGGUCCUGCACAGCCAGGGUGUCACCUACCCACCCCUCCCAGAGACCACUUUACAGAAUGGAAGGGAGGCUGGGGAAAGAGGCUCCAGCUGCACCCCCUGAGGUUCGAGUCACCCCUCACUGGGAAGGCCGGGAGGAGGGUGCUGGAGACAGAGGAUGCCCUCCUGGCUGUGGGGCCCCUGUCUCCUCCCGGUAUUCCUGGAGAUCCUGUCGAUUCUUCCUGCUCUGUCUACGAAGAGGUUCUGCCUCCUGGGUGGAUCUGAGGGGCUGGGAGCCCCCUCCACCCAGCCCGAGGCUUCCUGCCUGGGAUUCUGCCUCACAGCUGCUUCCCCGGGAGAAUUACAGACCCCUCCUCGUGUAACCAGGGCCACCCGACCCCUCCCAGCUGACCCUGCUCUCAUAAACAGCCAGGCCAGACCCCCUGCCUACUCCCCAUAGGGUCCAACUCUCCUCCAACUGCUCACCUAUUCUGUGGGCACCGACACAGUUCCCAAUGGGAGGGGCCAAGCUAGGGAGGAGCGGAGACUCCCGGAGGGGCACACCUCCCCUGUGGCCUCAGUGGUCACUUCUUGAGUGAGAGAGCUGGACCACGUGACUUCUGUCAUCCUUUCUGGUCUCAAAGAUAAACUGCGGGCUGGAGAGUCCGUGCUUAGUUUCUCCGGAUCGCUUCAGAUGGAGGAGCCGAAGCAUCCCACAGAGAUAUAGGAACUUGCCCAGGGUCACACAGCGAGGAGGUGGAGGCCAGGAUUUGCACUCAGGACUUUCUGAGCCUCUAGAAUCCUCUCAGCCAAGCCCCACAGCCCAUGACAAAUCGGGACUCCAGUUCCUGCUCAUCAAUGACAGCCAAGGACUUUGCCUCGCCAAGCCUUGUGGCUCUCUCUCAGGACACCAGGCCGGCACAUCCGUCACUGCCCGGGGCCUCCAGCCCAGGCUCCAGCCGCUGGCUAUGGCAGCGGAUCAAAGGGCUUGGAGGACGAGGCCGACAGCUGGGCAGGCCCACUGCCCUUGCUGACCCUGGGCUAGCGGCCCAGGCCUCAGGAGAGUGGGGCCUGGAGGGGCCUGAGGACGAGGCUGCAACAGAGCGGAUUCAGCUUCAGCAAACAGCAUCUACUGGGCACCAGACCGGGCCGGGUUUUGCUCCAUCACUGAACUGGAUGCCCACGUCGUGUUAACCCACAUGAUAGAUGAGGACAUCAACCCCAGAGGCCUGUUCUGUCUGCGUCUCCUCCUGCUGGCCAUCCUUACCCACAAAGGAGAGGGUAUAUCCAGGGAAACCUAGUGGAAGCAACCAGAUGGAGCGGGGAGAGAUGCAGGAAAGCUGGGGAGGGGGAAGGAGGCCCUUGAACACCAGGAUAGUGUCUCUGGACCUGAUCUGUUCAGCUUGGAGGGCUCCAGGACCACGGCUCCCUCCUCACCUGGCUCGGCCCUCCGAGACCCACAGCUGGCACAGGGACUGGAGAGGUUGCUACAGGCCUCCAGCUCCCCGUCUGUGAAAUGGGUGGGUCGGACUCUGCUCUCCAAGAGGCCUUCUAGCCCUGAGGUGGGGACGGGGGCGCAGAGGAGGUGUUCCAGAAAGGAGGCCUCUUCAGCUGAGAUUUAACAAGCCGUCUGUUCCAUUGGAAUUGAUCAAAACCAGACUUGAGCUCAGCCACGUCUCUGAUUUGCACGGACCGAAGCCGCCAAGAAUUCAUCCCUCGCUGUUUCCAGUACAUAACUGGGCUCCCGCGGGGAUCCCAGGGCCGGCAGAGGUCUCACCUCCUCUCUUCACGGUGAACCUGAGCAGGGGAGGCCCCCAGCCAGGCCCCCAGUCAUGCUCCUCCCACUCUGGCCACGGUGGGUGGGAGCCGGCUCGGGCCCUCCCCUCGCAUCUGAGCAGCAAGGCUGCCAGCUGGAGCCUGCAUUUCCCUCAUUCACACAGUCAACAAACCUUCCCGGAGCUCCCGAGAACUGUGCUGGGAGGCAGUGGCCCUGCACCUCCUCAGAACUGGCCCCCAGCCUCUCAGGGGUCCUGAGGGGUCACCACGUCUUCCCUUGUUGUUCCUCUUGGUUUAUAAAAGAAAUGAAGAAAUGC